AAAGAAAUAAAAAAAAAGCUUCUAACUUUUACAAAAGCAAUAUAAUUGUUUAU
rnacentral:tRNA from 1 species